rnacentral:piRNA from 1 species
UGUGUGUGCGUGUGAGACAGAGUUUCGCGU